AACCAAACAGAAUCACAGAAUGAGAAUGGGAGAAGCCUAAUCCAGACUCAUCAAUUUGCAAAUGAAGACUUAAGGCUCAGAGAGGUGAAACAAAGCUGGAUGCUUCUACAGUGUGUUGCCACCUACCAAGCCCUUGACAGCUUCUUCAACCAAUUUCAAAUGUUAAAUUUUAAACUUUAUAAGAACAGGGACUAUGUCUGAGUUACUCAUUGUACUCCCAGCAGCUAGCAUAAGGCACCGUGUUACAAAGUCUUGUGAAACAAAGCCCUGAUUUCAUAGCAAGCUAUGUGCUGAACUUUCACCAGAAAAGUGUGCCUCCUUACGGAACAUCCUCUAAGGGUACGGAGCUACCCUCACCAGAUCAGAAUCACAGGGGCUAAAGUACUUACAUGGGUUAACCGAGAUCAUUCAAAUGCUGUAAAAUUGUGAAUGAUAUAGGAUGACUUUAAGCUGAGCCUCACUUAUUGCCGCAUCCAAUAACACCAUCACAGUCCAAAUUCUAUUCUAGGACUUUGUUGGUUAAGAAUACAAGAAUCAGCCCAGUGUGGCGUGGUGAGCAUCUAUAGUCUCAGCUACUCAGGAAGCUGAGGUGGAAG